UGGGUCCAUCUAUGGAUCUGAAGGUCCAUCCAUGGGUCCAUCUAUGGAUCUGAAGGUCCAUCCAUGGGUCCAUCUAUAGGUCUGAAGGUCCAUCCAUGGGUCCAUCCAUGAGUCUGAAGGUCCAUCCACGAGUCCAUCUAUGGGUCUUAAGGUCCAUCCAUGGGUCCAUCUAUGGGUCUGAAGGUCCAUCCAUGGGUCCAUCUAUGAGUCUGAAGGUCCAUCCGUGGGUCCAUCCAUGAGUCUUAAGGUCCAUCCGUGGGUCCAUCUAUGGGUCUGAAGGUCCAUCCAUGGGUCCAUCCAUGGGUCUGAAGGUCCAUCCGUGGGUCCAUCCAUGAGUCGGAAGGUCUGAAGGUCCAUCCAUGGGUCCAUCUAUGGGUCUGAAGGUCCAUCCAUGGGUCCAUCCAUAGGUCUGAAGGUCCAUCCAUGGGUCCAUCCAUGAGUCUGAAGGUCCAUCCGUGGGUCCAUCUAUGGGUCUGAAGGUCCAUCCAUGGGUCCAUCUAUGAGUCUGAAGGUCUGUCCACGUCCCCCCCC